GGACGAACGCUGGCGGCGUGCUUAACACAUGCAAGUCGAGCGGUAAGGCCCUUUCGGGGGUACACGAGCGGCGAACGGGUGAGUAACACGUGGGUGACCUGCCCUCAGCUCUGGGAUAAGCCUGGGAAACCGGGUCUAAUACUGGAUAUGACUCCAUGACGCAUGUUGUGGGGUGGAAAGCCUUGUGCGGCUGAGGAUGGGCCCGCGGCCUAUCAGCUUGUUGGUGGGGUGANGGCCUACCAAGGCGACGACGGGUAGCCGGCCUGAGAGGGCGACCGGCCACACUGGGACUGAGACACGGCCCAGGACUCCUACGGGAGGCAGCAGUGGGGAAUCUUGCGCAAUGGGCGAAAGCCUGACGCAGCGACG
rnacentral:rRNA from 1 species